GGCNGCUUACACAUGCAAGUCGAACGGUGAAGCGGGUGCUUGCACUCGUGGAUCAGUGGCGAACGGGUGAGUAACACGUGAGUAACCUGCCCUCCACUCUGGGAUAAGCGCUGGAAACGGCGUCUAAUACUGGAUACGACCGACCCUCGCAUGGGGUGUUGGUGGAAAGAUUUAUCGGUGGUGGAUGGACUCGCGGCCUAUCAGCUUGUUGGUGGGGUAAUGGCCUACCAAGGCGACGACGGGUAGCCGGCCUGAGAGGGCGACCGGCCACACUGGGACUGAGACACGGCCCAGACUCCUACGGGAGGCAGCAGUGGGGAAUAUUGCACAAUGGGCGAAAGCCUGAUGCAGCGACGCCGCGUGAGGGAUGACGGCCUUCGGGUUGUAAACCUCUUUCAGCAGGGAAGAAGCUUUUGUGACGGUACCUGCAGAAGAAGCACCGGCUAACUACGUGCCAGCAGCCGCGGUAAUACGUAGGGUGCGAGCGUUGUCCGGAAUUAUUGGGCGUAAAGAGCUUGUAGGCGGUUUGUCGCGUCUGCUGUGAAAAUUCAGGGCUUAACCCUGGACGUGCAGUGGGUACGGGCAGACUAGAGUAUGGUAGGGGAGACUGGAAUUCCUGGUGUAGCGGUGGAAUGCGCAGAUAUCAGGAGGAACACCGAUGGCGAAGGCAGGUCUCUGGGCCAUUACUGACGCUGAGAAGCGAAAGCAUGGGGAGCGAACAGGAUUAGAUACCCUGGUAGUCCAUGCCGUAAACGUUGGGCGCUAGGCGUGGGUCUCAUUCCACGAGAUCCGUGUCGCAGCUAACGCAUUAAGCGCCCCGCCUGGGGAGUACGGCCGCAAGGCUAAAACUCAAAGGAAUUGACGGGGGCCCGCACAAGCGGCGGAGCAUGCUGAUUAAUUCGAUGCAACGCGAAGAACCUUACCAAGGCUUGACAUGCACCGGAUCGCCUCAGAGAUGGGGUUUCCCUUUGGGCUGGUGCACAGGUGGUGCAUGGUUGUCGUCAGCUCGUGUCGUGAGAUGUUGGGUUAAGUCCCGCAACGAGCGCAACCCUCGUUCUAUGUUGCCAGCACGUAAUGGUGGGGACUCAUAGGAGACUGCCCGGGGUCAACUCGGAGGAAGGUGGGGAUGACGUCAAAUCAUCAUGCCCCUUAUGUCUUGGGCUUCAAGCAUGCUACAAUGGCCGGUACAGAGGGUUGCGAAACCGUGAGGUGGAGCGAAUCCCAAAAAACCGGUCUCAGUUCGGAUUGGGGUCUGCAACUCGACCCCAUGAAGUCGGAGUCGCUAGUAAUCGCAGAUCAGCAACGCUGCGGUGAAUACGUUCCCGGGCCUUGUACACACCGCCCGUCAAGUCACGAAAGUCGGUAACACCCGAAGACGGUGGCCUAACCCUUGUGGAAGGAGCCGUCUAAGGUGA
rnacentral:rRNA from 1 species